rnacentral:rRNA from 1 species
UACGGGGGGGGUAAGCGUUGUCCGGAAUUAUUGGGCGUAAAGAGCUCGUAGGCGGUUUGUCACGUCUGCUGUGAAAUCCCGAGGCUCAACCUCGGGCCUGCAGUGGGUACGGGCAGACUGGAGUGCGGUAGGGGAGAAUGGAAUUCCUGGUGUAGCGGUGGAAUGCGCAGAUAUCAGGAGGAACACCGAUGGCGAAGGCAGUUCUCUGGGCCGUAACUGACGCUGAGGAGCGAAAGCGUGGGGAGCGAACAGG